rnacentral:lncRNA from 1 species
CCACAAGCGUGUUCUCAGGAGUGCUCAGCCCCAGGAAGCACUGUCCAGGGCAUCUCCCGCAGGGGACACGGGCCCUUGGAGCGAGCCCCAGCCUCUGGAAGCUCACGGGAAGUCGAUCUAGUGGCAUCCUCCAUUUUGCUGACCUGUCCUUCCACCUCUCUUCCCCCAUGCUGUCCUCGGCCGGGGGCACAGGCUCUGGACAGCAGCCUGGGGUGUGUGCUGGCCAUGCACUGAUGGCCGAGCUCCCUGCAGGCCUUUGGCCGGCCGGUGGCCCUUGGGACAGGCCCGCUUGGGCUCGCUCUGGCUGUCCCGGGUGCUGACGGUAGGUAAAGAGAGCAGACACGUUGGGCGGGGCAGGACGGGUCACAUUUAUUGUCACAGGCCCUUCAGGAGAGCUCGGCAGAGCGCUGUGUGCGAGGUGCUGUCACACUUUCGGGACUCUGAGUAGCCUGGCGAGGCCCAGCCCUUCUAAGAGGCUCCACAGCUCAGCCUGAUCUUGUGCCAGCGUGUUGCCCGCCAGCCGGCGGAUGAGGUCAUUGUCCUUCAAGACCUGGCGAGCCCAUCCCUAAAGCCAGGCCUUCAUGACGGGGCGCCGAGAGCCAGGUGGGCCACCAGAAGGGCCUGAGGACCCUGGGGAUCGUCGGGGGGGCAGAAGUCUGCUGGGCGCCCCCACCCUGGAGCUGGGAGAAGGUGCUGCCCCCCUUGUCUGCCACUUCAGCUUGUGUGACCUUGAAGGGUCCAACUCCCAGACCCUCCCUGGACAUGGUUUGUGGGGAGGUGGUGAUGCAGGGGACCUUGAAACCUCCAGGGCUGAAGCCUGGGAGCUCAAGAGCAGAAAGGAGAGCUGGGUGGCCGAGCUGACCUCUCCGCCCCGGGCCUCGCUGCCCUUCUUGGGGUCUCAGAGUGCCCGGCUGGCGCCUGUAGGGCGGGGUGUCCGCAUUCUCUUCCUCUUUGGGAAGAGGACAGGGAAACCAACACCGGGCCUGAAAUAGCCGCUGUCCGGUGGCCCGCGUGCCGGCGUAGACGGCCGCGCUGAUUGGCCUCCCCUUGGUGGGCUUGGGUGCCCUACCGUGAACAGGCCCAAAAAAGGCCGACGGCCCCUCCGAGCGCCCUGUGCCCGGGCUGAGCAGGAGGCUGGCGGUGGGCCACGGCCAGGAUCGCUGCGGCAGCUGGGGCUGCCACUCACUGCCAGCGGAGACAGGAGGGGACAGCUGGUAAGAAGGGCCUGAGGACGUCCCCUGGUGAGGGCAGGACUUGAGAUGGGGAAGAGGAUGCCAGAGCCCACACCUAGGCCGCUGGCCCCCUCCUGGCCCCCGCCGUCAGAUGAAAGCUGGGGUGGUCCCAGCUGGGCCCAGGGGUGAGCCUGGCCCCCUUGGCUUAGCACGGGGAGGGGCCCCGGGCUCCUCAGAGCAAAGUCGUUGGGAAUUCAUGGGCAAGGGAGCGCCUCAGCUGCCCGGCACCCCAGCGCCCCUCUCAGACCCGCACACAUUCUGUGUGCAGCACCACAGUGACAACCCUGGUCUGAAUCCCCAACCUCUUCCCCUCCCAGGCCUGAAAGCUGAAGGCCAGUGGGCAGGUGCGGGGCAGUGGGGAGCCUGGAAAGCUGGGCUGAGCGAGGAAACCCAAGCAGACUGCCGCCCCACCGUUCCCUCUUGCCGUCCCGUCAGCAGAGCAUGCCUCUUGGGGUCUUGGAGUGCCAGUCUCAGCUGUCCCUGAUGCUCACAUUCCCGGCCUCUUUGGGAAGAGGAGGCGUGAGCCUAGAGGCUGGAAAUAGCUGUGCCCUGAAGUGGCCCUCAGGGAUACCUGGGCGGUCAGGGGGCUGGCUGCCCCCAUCACGAGGCCCUCCAGAAACACCCUCCCGCCCUCUGCCUCUGCCUGUCCCUCGGUCCCCUUCUUGCCCUGCCGAGGGUCUGUGGGCAGGCAGAGGCGGAGUCCCCAGCUAGAGCCCCGGGUGAGGGUCCUGCCUCCUUACUCCUUGCAGAUGGUGGGGGCCUCAUGGGACACGGGGGCUGCUGCCUGGGCUGGGCAGGCUGGGCUGGGGGCUGGAGGUGGGAGCAAGGAGGGUGGCCAGGGGAGAGCCCAGCAUGAGGGGCCACAAGGAGCAGCAACAUCCAAUGGGAAGAACGUGGCGCCGCGGGCGUCCUCCGGCAGGGGUGGCGGCCCCCUGCCAUUUUUUGCACGUGAUGUCUCUCUCCUAGAGGCCCUUGGCCUCGCAAGCUCUCACUUGCUAAAGUUUCUCACUUUCCACUUCUUCCCGUGUUUGCUUUCCUUGGUCAGAGACGAGUGAGUGGCCAGGGAGCCCGCUCCGUGCAACUUGGCUCCUUCCGAAAGGAACACUUGGCAGGUCCGUGCUGGGAGCCGUCCUGCCCGGCCUCCCCCUCACCCCGGCCCACCCCCGCCCCAGUGUUGGCACCCAGUGGGCAGCAGCUUGAGGGGCCCCUGACUGUCAUGGCUGCGGGGGGCCAGGGCCCUGGAGGCACCUGCCUGUUUUCCUGGAAAAGAAACCAAAACAGACAUCCUCUCCGGGAGAAGACACAAGAACAAGGUGGUUUUGCCCUGGGAGCUUUGCUGUGUGCUGUCCUCAUUAGCUCUGUGGUCUCCCUCUCUGGGCCUCGAUUUCCCCAUCUGUCAAGAGGCCGAGUGGGGGAGGAACUCAGGAAGCUCCGAAGACGCACCCCACAGACGCACAGAUGGAGUGUGGGUGAGCCGUGGGGCGGCAGGCAUGCACAGGAUGGGCUGGACCAGUUGUCCACAGACAGGCCGAGGCUUUCUGCCCGCACAGCCCGCCGGAGCCUCCACUCCGGUAGGCAUCCCCGGGGUAAGAUGGUCUGCAAGAGCAGGGCCGGCAGACCCAUAGUCCCCCAUGGGCAUGAGCAGAGCAGGCAGGGGCUCAGCGCCCCAGGACGCUGCUGCCCUCUUGGUCAGGCCUCUAAAAUGUGCCUGUGGCUGAAGAGGGGGAGUCUGGGGAGGCAGAGCUCCUCGGGGAAAGAAGCCUCCAGGGGCCUCCACCCUCGCUGGCCCGUGCACACCCGGUGCCCAGGAGGACCCAGUAACAGGCAACGGG